AGUUCUAAGGCAGUGUUGUCAUGGUUCGGAUCUGGAAUGUCUCUCCUCAAAGCCUCAUGUGCUCAGAGCUGAGGUGUUUGGAUGGUGACUGGGUCUUGGGGCACUAUACCUGUAUGGGGAUUAAUCUGCUGAUGAAUCUAUAGUGGCGUGUGCUGUUAGGAGGUGGGGUCUGGUUGGAAGACCUGAGUCAUGGGGUGGGACCGUGGAGGGUGUGUUUGCUUCCCUGGCUCCUCCUUUUGUGCUCUGCUUCCUGGCUGCCAUGACGUGAGCAUCUUUCCUCAGCCAGUUCCUUCCACCCAUAUCCUUUCUGCCUUGGAGCCAGCCAUCCAUGGACUGAAAAUGUGGGCUGAAGUUAGGCUCUCCUCCUUUAAGGUGUGGUCAGGUGUUUUGUCCCAGCAUGAGAAAGUGGCUAAGACAAAUGUGGUGCCUGGAGCAACCCUGAAAAGUGUGUUCUAACCAGCAGUAAGAGACUGGACAAAUUUUGAACAAGAAAAUCACGGUUGAUGGAUUUAAUGGAGGCUUAGUAUUUCCAUGGAUGGCAUCACAGAAUUCUACCAUCCUCAACUAAGCAUGUGGAAGACAGUCUAGCGGAAGAAGGAUGGAGGCAGGAAGCCGGGACAUCAGCAGCUACUACUGCUAUUUGCACACCACUCUUGCAUCCACAGAAGCUUCCCGUGACAGAUGCACAGCACUGCUGGGCACCUGAUUUUAUGCAGUCCAAGCAUCAUCUGAAAUUCUGUCCUGGGAAGUCUAAGGAUUUAACUGAAUAGGCUGCUCACAAUCCCAGCUGGCUGAAGAUCCUCAACACCACCUCUCUAUUCCUGUGUCCUCCUACUUGCCACUGGACUUCUUCCAUACUCCUCAAAGGUUCUCUGAUGACACCCAUACUAAAGGAGGUAUCUAGUAUGUAGUUUUUAUCUGUCUCUCCAGUUCUUUGACACUACACCACAAUUGUUUUCUGAGAAGUUUAUCCAAGAUAUUAAAUAGAACUUUGUUUCCAUACAUUUUUACUU